CAUAGUUUCUUAUGCAUGUUUGUUUUAAGCUUGUGAAUUCUUGCAGCACUAUUCUACUUCACCUCAUUGUAUUGAAUUGCUGUUGGCAGAGAAUGCUUAAGGCUCGUACAGACUACAUGAUUUUGAAAAGUAGGUCCGUACUGUGCGGUUCACACUACAUGACUUGCUCUCUGUGAAAUCAGGAGUGUUCACGUUGUUGAGCAGUUCACACCACACGACACAACGUGAAUGCCCCACAACAGGAGGUAACGCACUACACGAGUUGAGAACAACUCUAUUACCCAACGAUUCUAUCUUGUCUACAAACCACGUUCUGUCACGAAAAAUCACGCGAUAAAACAAACCGGAAAUGACGAGAAACAACACGCGCGCCGGUAAAAACCCACAGAAGAAGAAACAAGAAGACGCGCAAAACUUUUGUUUGUAUAUAGACUUCAGACAGAAAUUAGUGCUGCAAACCGUUUGCGCGAUGCAAAGCUGCAAAAGAAAAAAAUUAUAGAGAUGUGAUGUGGAGAGGUGGAUCAGAACCACACGCGGACAGCAGGGAUUAAAGAUUUGAGAAUAGGACAGGCUUCGCAAAACAUGAUUUGAAGAGCGUUUGUCUUUGACCCUGCGAUUCUAUGCAACAGGUGACACGUUCAAGUUCCUCAGGUUCAAGUCCAGAAUGGGAGACCAGCAUCAUCUCACAAAUAGUUUUGGAUGUUCUGCUCUGUACCAGGUUAUAAAGGACGUUUUCUUGAAGG